UGGGUAGAUAUUGUUGUUAUCUGUGAAGCUGCCCUGACCUCUCCUGUCAUUCAUCUUUCAUCAUUCAUUCCUUCAUUCUGCAAACAUUUCGUUGAGGGCCUGCCUUGCUUGGAAAGGCCAGCUGAGAGCUUCAGGAGUUUGCUGUAGCUGAGGCGCCCUGGGAGCGGCUGGUGAACCAGGGGAUGCUAGUAGCUAAGGCUGUCCUAGGUGGAGCCGCAGUCCUCCCGAGCGGAAAGAUCAAAUGGAUCCUGGUGAUCGGCGGAGGCUCGUGGGCUUCCUGAGCACGUCUCUUCUGUCCUGGAAACCAAAAGUGCCCUUCAUUUUUGGAGACAUUUUUAAUGUCACAUCUUCUUUUUCAGACCGAGCUGUCUGCCCCAUAGGGGCUGGAAAUCCAUUACGAAGUCACUUUGCAUUAGAAUGUGGUCACCUGGGUUGGUAGGCGAUUUGCAGAGAUUUCUGGGGAUGGGGAUGGGGGUGGGGAGGAAAGCAGUCAGCCCUCUAAAAGAGCUGUCACGACAAAACACAGCAGCAGAGUGGAAAGGCGACCGCGGUGGCCGCCUUGAGGAACCGUGGAGCCGAAGAGCCGUGAACAACGCUCCUCUAUUUCAAAUAAUAUGUUUUGAAACGUAGAUGCACAUCGGACGUCAAGUUUCCUUUUGGACAAAUUAGUGACCAGCUGCAGUUAGCAGUUAGUUUCCUGUGUAGGUGACAGGAACUCUCGGAUGCAAAGAUCACCAGUGUCUCCAGGUCGGGUAUUUGAGACAGUAUGCACAUCAUAAGCACAGUUUCAAUAAAACGCAUAUUCUGUGAGGCGCGUCGCGCUUUGUCUUAUUUGGAAUUUGAGAAGAGCAAAACUUGCUGACAAACCAGUGCCUAUGUCGUCAACAUAAACACACAAGAUCGCUGUUCCUGCGCAGGCAGCCUUUGCUUUCACAAAGGUCAGACCUGAGAACCGCUGUGGCAACACCCUGCCUUGGCUGAGAACUGCCGUGGGAAGGCCCCGGGAGCGACUCUUGUUUCCUCUGUUGCUUUGGAGAAAGAAGAAAAGAUGGUGAGCUUCUGACAUCAACCCUGUCUGAGACAAGGGGGGCUUCUUCUGCUUCGAGCUCUGAUUCAGGAGCUCAGAGCUUGCCCGCCUGGUGGGAGCCGGGGGUCUUGAGUUUGCUGGAACCAGCAGGAGUGUCCAGGGCGGGGGUGGGGGUUGCAUCCUUCCCAGGACUUUUUCUCUGGGCCAGACCCUUGCAGGAGGAAGGCAGUCGUCCAGAAAUGCUGAGCCAAGGCUUCCAGUGGCUUUGGAAAACCCGUCCUUGAUUUCAAUAAACCGAUGGUCACUUUGUAGUCAUUAUAAUAGCAAACCCUAGGCUGCUGCCCAGUGUCCUUCCUCUGUAGCUCACUCUGCUGUCUAGAAUGAAGUUUCAGGACUUUUGCUUUCUUUCUUUCUGUCUGUCUGUCUUUUUCGUUUAAAAGUGAAUGUGAAGCAUUUUAUGGGGGGUCUUUUUUUUCUUUGGCACCCUGGGUAUUUUUUUCAUGUCUUUAAAAAAAUCAAAUCAUAGUGCGCCCCACCUCGGGCCGUCUCUGUCACCUAUGGAGGCAGAUGAAAUUUAGUUUUAAUCUGUGGUGAGCUGAGUGCAUGACAAUGUCUUCACGAUAAGCUGCUGUGCUCCUCUGGCGGUUUCCCCCUGUGGAGGAGGAUGCUGUCUUGAAAAAAAAAAAAAAAAGAAAGAAAAAUACACACUCCUUUACCCGGCGUUCCCCACAUUUCGAGGAAUGAGAUACACGUGGAAACCCAAGCUGGACAUGCUCCUUGAGAAAGGCCGGCCCGGAGGAGUGAUACCUGUCGUAGCGGUGAAAAUGCAAUAUGAAAUUUCCUAGGUGCUAUUCUAAACGGAGAGCUGUCAUGCUCCCCAGUGAGGAGGGGGUUACGGUGUCUCUCAGAAGCUCAAGUUCUCUUUGUAGGCCUUUCAGAUACGCAUUUUAUGCUCCCCAUCGGUUUGCUCACCGACUGUGCCUCUCACCACUGGUUAAAAUUGAAUUCGCGCCCCGUCACAAAAGCAGUUUCUUGAUUGAACUCUUUCUGUUUUUACACUGGAAUUUCUAUAGUUGUCUUAAAAGCUGCAUGUCGUAUCACUGUACAAAAUGCUUCGGUAUUGUUCAUGCCCCAUUCCUAGUGACGUGUGUCGAAUUUUCUCCUUUCGUUGUACAGUAACCUGGGAGGCAGGAUGUCUUGCCUUGAGGCUGCAAGAAAAGUGUAUCUCUCAUACCUUUUAAAUUAUUUCUGAACAAGUGCAUGCAAUGUGUCCCCGACUUCUGUUAUUUAUGUGUAUGUUUUAUUAUUCAAGGUGUGUGCACUUUUAAGAAGCAGAAUUUCUAUUUUUAUGUUUCAAACGUUUUAUUUCUGGAACGGUUGAUUAUACAGUAAUACAGUUGGAAUUAAGAAAAAAGUGGAAAAUGUAACAAAAUAUAAUAAAUUUAUUACA
rnacentral:lncRNA from 9 species